CCGUUUCUUGCGGCGGCGGGAAAGCAUCCGCUAGCUCUGGGAUGAAGCGCCACUAAUCCUGCAUCCCCAGACAGCAUCCCUUUCCUAGUCGAGGUAACUAAAACCAAUCAGUAAAAAAGUGGGCGGUGCCUACUGCUGAGAGGAUUCAGUCUCUGUUCCGACAGCCGUUCCGGCCCGGCAGCUCUCCUGCUCUCGGGCUGCGAGGGGGGAGCGGUGGCGUGGACUCAGAGCGCUCGGGGCUCUCCACCUGGUUCUGGCACAGGAGAGGCACCGGGUUCUGGAGAAAAGAACACGCGGUUGAGUUAGACCUGGUUGUUAUUCAGGUCUCUGUAUGGGGAACAGCCACAGAUCACAAGGGUGGAAUGAAGAUGGCUAAUCGGGAGUGUCGACUGAAAAAAUGCACAACCUAAAAGUUGGCAAUUAUGUUUUAUUCAGCGGACAUACUGAGGACUUAAGCCCGGAGACAGCCUCUCACGUAGCUCUGAGGGAUUUCUCCAAAGAGGUCUCACCAAUUCUUGAGGCUGCCAAGUGGGGCUGCAGCAGGAUGCUGCCUUGUUGGGGUGCCGUGCGGCGUAGGAGCUGAGGAUGAGCUUGGCGUGCAGAGAGGCCCGCGUUGAACAGCCUGCCGUCACAGGCACACCACUUGAUCUCUUGGGGCCUCAGAUUUCCUCUUCGUAAAGAGGGUAAUGAUUUACAGCAUGGACGUUCCUGAGAGUUGGAGAUAUGGACAUAGACUCUUGGCACUUAAUAGGUGCUAAAAAUGGCAGCUUGUGAACUUGAGUGGCGGCCGGCACCUUCUCCAGGAACGCACUCCCUGCCCUGUCUGGGGGACAUCCCCCCUCAGUGGCCCCUGGGUGCCCUCAUCGCUACCCUCAAGCCCCUGUUGGGCAUCACUUACUUGCUGGCACGCCCACCAGCUGGGAGAUGGUGCAUGGCAGGCAGGUGCAAGAUCGUCUGCCACAGUGCCAGGCACCUGGUACGUGCUCAGAUGGACACGUGGGUCAGAUGUGACUCCUGACGUGGGGGCUGUGAGACCAGCGUAAAAUGGACGAGAAGGUUGCCCUCAAGUCUUCUAAGAGAUGGUCAGUGAAUGAAGUUGGGGGGAAAGCACUCCCUGAGUUUCUCUCAGGAGGACUUGAGUGCCAAGAUGCCAACCAAGAGACCAGAGCUCUGCCCCACCCAGUCAGAGCAGCGGGGCACCCACUCCAUCGCAGGAAGGGAGCUAGAGAAGACGGAGCUGCCCCCGCGGCGCCCACGGGCUGCGUGAGAGAACAAAUUAACCCGGCUUAGGAAGAGUUCUUUCAAUUAUGUCCCAGGGAGAGAAAAAGUAGGAAGAGGAGCCAGUGCUUGAAGCGCGGAGGAGCUGGCCGACCUCAGAGGCAGCCUCGUGUCUUCGGCGGGACGGCUGGAAGAGCUAUCGAACCCACUGCCAAACCCGGGGACGCUGAUGCAGCCCCUCCAGCCAGCCCGGGGACUGUGAUGCGGGACUAAAGCCCAGACAGAAGAGGAACCUGCUCAAGGUCGCCUACCCAGUAAGGAGCAGAGCUGGGAUUUGUCCACUUACACCCUUAGCACAGCACUGCCCCCAGAGGCUGGGGAAAACACAGCUCCUGACUCCCCAUGCCCGAUGCCGCACUUGGCAAAGACAGGAGUGGAAACCUCUUCUGGUUGAGGUUAUCAGGGAAAGCUUGCUAGAGAAAGAGGCAUGUGGGACAGGCCUUGAAGGCUGUGUAGGAUUUCAGCGGUCAGGGAUAAAUGAGGUACAGGGAGAAGCGGACAAAUGCACGAGAAAGGCCUGAGAAAGGCCUGUGCGGGGCAGUGAAUAAGCCCAGUAACGGGAGUCACAGGGGAACUGAUCAGGGAAGCGGUGGGCCAGAGUGGGAAGGGCUUGAGCGAUGCAGACACAGCAGAUCCGCUGUCGCAUCUGAGCUUCGCUCCCACUGCUGCCUGAGAUCUCUCGUGUCUGUGAACGGUGGCAGCUCCCGAAUUUCCACAGGAGGGUUGCCCUGGCCUCCACCUGCCCUUCAGCGCUGCCACUGUCUGUGGGGAGGGCUCUGUGCCCAGACUCACCCUAAACAAGGGCGGGUUCCUUGGCGCAUUCAGGGCCAGGCAGGCUGGGUUCAGAGGGGUCUGAGCGCCCGCGUGGGGUCAAGUUCCCCGCCUCUGCCUUCCUUCCCUCACUCCUUGUUGGGAGCUGGGGUGUGGACAGGUGUGUAGUGGCACAGGUAACAGCAAAGGUAAAAAAUAAAAGCCAGCUGUGUGUGGGCAAGUUGGGAAAAACGAGGAAGGUUAGAAAACGUGGUGUCCGGGGUCUGCACGGGGACCUGCUGAGGGCUGGGCGCGGCCUGGGUCCAGAUUUCCUGAAGAUGGAACUUCUGGGAGCAGGUGUGAUCCUGGACUGAUAACGUGGCGGGCAGUUCUGGGGGUGGAUGGGGCUCGGGCCAGCCCUGAGAAAUGUAACUCAGCUGUCUGUGCUUGAGGGGCGGUAGCGGACAAUAACCAGGAAUGGAAGAGAAGAGAGCCCUGGAAGCUCAUCUCCAGUCAUCUGGCGUCGACACCAUAGCCUUGUGUUGCCGUGGGCAGAAAACCUCUCGCUUUGAUGAACUUGUCAUAAAGUGAUAUUUUUUUUGUCUCCCAUCCUGUAUUAGUUUUCUAACUCUGCCAUAA